UCAAGAUGUUGUGAUGUUAUAAAUACUACACAAUAUUGACAUAAUUUAUAUCUCUAUCAAUUAAACAUAUACCAUUCACCCUCUGCGCUCCCUCCUCGCCAAAUAGAUUUCUUUUCUCAAUUGCAGUAUAGAUACAAUGUUCAUUUGUUCGCACACCGAUACAAGCAAAGGGAAACUUUUUGGAAGAAAACCAAAAUUAAAAGUGAAGCUACAUGGCGUGACAAUAUCAAAUCAGUAAAUUACCUGAAUGUCCAGUUGACGAGGAAGAUGAUUGGCGUGGGUGAACGUGAAGAUGGACUUUAUUUUUUCUGUGUUAUUCCGUUGGUCAACAGUUGAUAGUGAUUAUGUAGUGGAGUUAUGUCUUCAACGAAUAGAGCAUCUGUCGGAAAAACUUCUAAAAUUUCUACCUCCCGUGAGAAGUGCAGUUUGAACGAAUAAGAAAAUAUGUGAUGUAUGUCCUCGUGCAAAGCAUACUAGGAGUAGUUUUCAGAUUAGUGAAAGUAGAGAUAAUUAUUUGUUUGGUUUUAUACAUUUGGAUUUAUGGGGGCCGUACAAGACACCUUCGUCUUCUGGUGCCCGAUACUUCUUAAAUAUUGUUGAUGACUUUUCAAGAGCAGCAUGGAUUUAUUUAAUUCGUGAUAAAACUGAAGUU